AUUGAACGCUGGCGGCAUGCUUUACACAUGCAAGUCGAACGGCAGCGCGGGCUUCGGCCUGGCGGCGAGUGGCGAACGGGUGAGUAAUACAUCGGAACGUGCCCAGUAGUGGGGGAUAGCUCGGCGAAAGCCGGAUUAAUACCGCAUACGACCUGAGGGUGAAAGCGGGGGAUCUUCGGACCUCGCGCUAUUGGAGCGGCCGAUGGGAGAUUAGCCAGUUGGUGGGGUAAAGGCCUACGAAGGCGACGAUCUGUAGCUGGUCUGAGAGGACGACCAGCCACACUGGGAAUGAGAGGAGGUGCAGACAACUCCGGGAGCAGGAAGUGGGGAUGAUUGGUCAAGGGGCGCGGGCCUGAUCGAGCCAUGGCGAGUGGGUGAAGAAGGCGUUCGAGUUGUAAAGCCAGUUUGUUGGGACAGAAGAACAGCAGGGUAAUACCACGCUGUACUGACGGUACCCAAAGAAUAAACACCGGCUAACUUCGUG
rnacentral:rRNA from 1 species